rnacentral:rRNA from 1 species
AGACAACGCUGGCGGCGUGCUUAACACAUGCAAGUCGAACGGAGUACCCUUGAUUGAGACUUCGGUCAAUUUCUUGGACUACUUAGUGGCGGACGGGUGAGUAACACGUGAGUAACCUGCCCUUGAGUGGGGAAUAACACACCGAAAGGUGUGCUAAUACCGCAUAACAUAACGAAGCCGCAUGGCUUUGUUAUCAAAGAUUUAUUGCUCAAGGAUGGGCUCGCGGCCGAUUAGGUAGUUGGUGAGGUAAUGGCUCACCAAGCCUACGAUCGGUAGCCGGACUGAGAGGGUGACCGGCCACAUUGGGACUGAGACACGGUCCAGACUCCUACGGGAGGCAGCAGUGGGGAAUAUUGCACAAUGGGCGCAAGCCUGAUGCAGCGACGCCGCGUGAAGGAUGAAGUAUUUCGGUAUGUAAACUUCUAUCAGCAGGGAAGAAAAUGACGGUACCUGACUAAGAAGCACCGGCUAAAUACGUG